GAGCCCGUGGCUCAAUGGUAGAGCAUUCGACUCAAUUACGAAAGGUCGUGGGUUUGAAUCCCAGUUGGUCCA
rfam:Schistocephalus solidus strain NST_G2 genome assembly, scaffold: SSLN_scaffold0010581